CCUUUACAGUUAGACUCCUCAUCUGCAAUACAACUAUACAUCAACCAAGUUUCUGCCUUUUUCCAUUAGGCACAAAUUAAUUGAUCACUCACCACAUAUCACUUCGCAAGAAAGAAACUCAGAUUCAUAAGUCUAUACAAAAUAUAUAUUCCAAGCUCAUCUCCUUCAACAAUUCAGCAGCAAACGAUCAGCCCUCUCAUUCAAGGCUUUGAGCAUCAGAAGGAUUAGCACUGCUAUUCCGAUUCAGAGAUAAGGUUAAACGACAGGCUUUGCCUAUACAGGUUGAGCAGUUGAUGGAAUGGAAUGAUGUUGAGCGGGUGUUCCUUUGACAUUUCAAGAAAUGUAACCUUGAGUAUACAUCUUCAUAUGUAUAUCUCACACGUUUUCCGCUGCAAAACACUUUGAUUAGGAUAACUUUAUGUUAUGAAAUUAUGACACGUGUUAUUGGGUAACCCACCUUAAUCAGUUCUCAUUUAUGUGUAUGUUUUAUAAGUAUCCAAAUAAUCAUAUAUGAUCCUAGCAUUUUAUCUA